rnacentral:rRNA from 1 species
CACGCCAUAAACGAUGAGCACUAGGUGUCGGGGUUGUAAGACUUCGGUGCCGCAGUUAACGCAUUAAGUGCUCCGCCUGGGGAGUACGUGCGCAAGCAUGAAACUCAAAGGAAUUGACGGGGACCCGCACAAGCAGCGGAGCAUGUGGUUUAAUUCGAAGCAACGCGAAGAACCUUACCAGGGCUUGACAUCCCUCUGACCGGCGCGUAACGGUGCCUUCCCUUCGGGGCAGAGGAGACAGGUGG